GUCCACGCUGUAAACGAUGAGCACUAGGUGUCGUGGGUAUUGACCCCGCGGUGCCGCCGCUAACGCAUUAAGUGCUCCGCCUGGGGACUACGGCCGCAAGGUUAAAACUCAAAGGAAUUGACGGGGGCCCCGCACAAGCGGUGGAGCAUGUGGUUCAAUUCGACGCAACGCGAAGAACCUUACCUGGGCUAGACAACGGAGGACAGCUCCAGAGAUGGGGUCUUCCCUUCGGGGACCUCCGGUUCAGGUGCUGCAUGGCUGUCGU
rnacentral:rRNA from 1 species